rnacentral:rRNA from 1 species
GAUGAACGCUGGCGGCGUGCCUAAUACAUGCAAGUCGAGCGAAUGGAUUAAGAGCUUGCUCUUAUGAAGUUAGCGGCGGACGGGUGAGUAACACGUGGGUAACCUGCCCAUAAGACUGGGAUAACUCCGGGAAACCGGGGCUAAUACCGGAUAACAUUUUGAACCGCAUGGUUCGAAAGUGAAAGGCGGCUUCGGCUGUCACUUAUGUAUGGACCCGCGGCGCAUUAGCUAGUUGGUGAGGUAACGGCUCACCACGGCAACGAUGCGUAGCCGACCUGAGAGGGUGAUGGGCCACACGGGGACUGAGACACGGCCCAGACUCCUACGGGAGGCAGCAGUAGGGAAUCUUCCGCAAUGGACGAAAGUCUGACGGAGCAACGCCGCGUGAGUGAUGAAGGCUUUCGGGUCGUAAAACUCUGUUGUUAGGGAAGAACAAGUGCUAGUUGAAUAAGCUGGCACCUUGACGGUACCUAACCAGAAAGCCACGGCUAACUACGUGCCAGCAGCCGCCGUAA